UACGGGGGGGGCAAGCGUUGUUCGGAAUUACUGGGCGUAAAGGGCCAGUAGGCGGCCAACUAAGUCGGAUGUGAAAUCCCAAGGCUUAACCUGGGAACUGCAUCCGAUACUGGAUGGCUUGAAUUCGGGAGAGGGAUGCAGAAUUCCAGGUGUAGCGGUGAAAUGCGUAGAUAUCUGGAGGAACACCGGUGGCGAAGGCGGCAUCCUGGACCGGCAUUGACGCUGAGGCGCGAAAGCCAGGGGAGCAAACGGG
rnacentral:rRNA from 1 species